rnacentral:lncRNA from 1 species
CUGAGACAACCCUAUUUCUGGGAGUCCUCCCAAACCCCUUGAAGUCACAGGCGUCUCUGAUGUCCCUGUCCUUCAUCCACAUCACUGAACAAUUAAGUGCACACAUCUCUGUACUUUUAUUUAAACCAUUCCAUAUGUGUUUACAAUUAACGACUUCAUGAAUGACUGCGGUAUGGAUGGAGCAGAAAAGAAUGCUGAGGGAGAACUCCGGUUAGAAGGAGCCGCUCUUCCAGGACUAGGAAUGAACUUUCCCCAGUACCAACCAGACAGCCUCCAGGGCAAGAAAAGGUGCAGCUUGGAGGAAACUUCUGGAGGGUGGGGUGGUGCUGAAGAGGAGGCAACAUUGUUACCGUUUUGUUCAACAUGGGUGUUUUCUUUAUGCAUCAAUUUGUAUUUUUAAAGAUAUUACAUUAAAAUUUUGUUUAUCUUGAUUACUGAGUUUUUUUGGUGCCCCUUUAAAUUCUCUAUCCAUAGUCCUGAGCCUUGAUACAAAGUGAGGACCUGGCCUCUGGACAUCAAGCAGCCAGAAAUUCCCUUAGGAGCUUUCUCUGAAUUGUUGAAUUGUGAGUGAUAUUUUCCUUUCCUGAAUUCCCUAAUAUCCACAAUUUCCUCGUAAUCAUCCCUCCAAAGCCACACCCACAAGGCACCUCUGAGACCUAUCAUGAAGCAAAUAUUCAAAAAGUAUUUGUAAAUCUUCACACACCACCCCCGCCACAAUGUCUUCCAACAUCACUUUGCCUAGAGAAUUAAAAAACAAGAUUUGCAUGUUAAGUAUCAGCCUCUCCCAUUGGGUGGGUGUUUAGGAAGGAGGAUCAGCCAAGAGUCUUAUUCCAGCCCAGGUAAAUGACCUUGCCAAAGAUUUAAUAUCCACAAAUGUGGAAUCCUUGUAACAGAACUCAGUGGGAACCAAAGUCAGGCAUGGGCCUGGGCUUUAAGGAGCACAACCGAAAAGGAAGGACUAGAAAACUUCAGAAAGGUACUGGUGGGGGUGGAGGGGUCGGGGGACGGGGGACAGUGAGGAUGUGGGAUCCUGAGAUAAUCCAAAUCCCUAUGUGUAGACGUAUGUGUACAAAGGCUGUAAAGAGAGACCCAGGCUGAUGGGGUAUCUGUAAUCAAACAUAAUGUGACAGCAGGUCAAGUGAUAAGGGGACUCUGGAAAAACAGAACAAGCAGCAAAAUGAGCAGUAUCAAACUCCACAGAAGUUAACCAACACCAAGACACUAAGAAAGCUACAUUCAUUUAAAUCAAGGUGACAAGCUGGGCGCGGUAGCUCACGCCUGUAAUCCUAGCACUUUGGGAGGCCGAGGCGGGCAGAUCAUUUGAGGUUCAAGACCAACCUGGCCAACAUGGUGAAAGCUCGUCUGUAGUAAAAAUACAAAAAUUAGCUGGGCAUGGUAGUGGGUGCCUGUAAUCCCAGCUACUCAAGAGACUGAGGCAGUGCAGGGCGCCGUGGCUCACGCCUGUAAUCCCAGGACAUGGGGAGGCCAAGGCGGGCAGAUCAUGAGGUCAG